rnacentral:rRNA from 1 species
GCUGGCUGCGUGCCUAAUACAUGCAUGUUGAACCAACUGACGAGGAGCUUGCUCCUUUGAAGUUAGUGGCGGACGGGUGAGUAACACGUGGGUAACCUGCCUCACAGCUGGGGAUAACAUCGAGAAAUCGAUGCUAAUACCGAAUGUGCUGAACAUCAUAAGAUGUUCAAGUGAAAGACGGUUUCGGCUGUCACUGUGAGAUGGACCCGCGCUGGAUUAGCUAGUUGGUAAGGUAAUGGCUUACCAAGGCGACGAUCCAUAGCCGACCUGAGAGGGUGAUCGGCCACAUUGGGACUGAGACACGGCCCAAACUCCUACGGGGGGCAGCAGUAGGGAAUCUUCGGCAAUGGACGAAAGUCUGACCGAGCAACGCCGCGUGAGCGAAGAAGGCCUUCGGGUCGUAAAGCUCUGUUGUUAGAGAANAACAAGGGUGAGAGUAACUGUUCACCCCUUGACGGUAUCUAACCAGAAAGCCACGGCUAACUACGUGCCAGCAGCCGCGGUAAUACCUUAGUGGCGAGCGUUGUCCCGAAUUAUUGGGCGUAAAGCGCGCGCAGGCGGUCUCUUAAGUCUGAUGUGAAAGACCCCGGCUCAACCCGGGAGGGUCAUUGGAAACUGGGAGACUUGAGGACAGAAGAGGAGAGUGGAAUUCCAAGUGUAGCGGUGAAAUGCGUAGAUAUUUGAAGGAACACCAGUGGCGAAGGCGGCUCUCUUGUCUGUUACUGACGCUGAGGCGCGAAAGCGUGGGAAGCAAACAGGAUAAGAUACCCUGGUAGUCCACGCCGUAAACGAUGAGUGCUAAGUGUAAGGGGGUUCCCGCCCCUUAGUGCUGCAGUAAACGCAUUAAGCACUCCGCCUGGGAGAGUACGACCGCAAGGUUUGAAACUCAAAGGAAUUGACGGGGGCCCGCACAAGCGGUGUGAGCAUGUGGUUUAAAUUCGAAAGCAACGCGAAGAACCUUACCAGGUCUUGACAUCCUUUGACCAUUCUGAAGACAGAACUUUCCCUUCGGGGACAAAGUGACAGGUGGUGCAUGGUUGUCGUCAGCUCGUGUCGUGAGAUGUUGGGUUAAGUCCCGCAACGAGCGCAACCCCUUGAUUUUAGUUUGCCAGCAUUUAGUUGGGGCACUCUAAAGUGACUGCCCGUGUAAGCCCGAAGGAAAGUGGGGAUGACGUCAAAUCAUCAUGCCCCUUAUGACCUGGGCUACACACGUGCUACAAUGGAUAAAUACAAAAGGUCGCGAAGCCGCGAGGUGGAGCCACAUCCCAUAAAAAUUAUUCUCAGUUCGGACUGCAGGCUGCAACUCGCCUGCAUGAAGCCCGGAAUCGCUAGUAAUCGUAGAUCAGCAUGCUACCGUGGAAUACGUUCCCGGGCCUUGUACACACCGCCCGUCACACCACGACAGUUUGUGACACCCAAAGCCGGUUCAGUAAC